rnacentral:rRNA from 1 species
GUGGGGAAUAUUGGACAAUGGGCGAAAGCCUGAUCCAGCCAUGCCGCGUGUGUGAAGAAGGUCUUCGGAUUGUAAAGCACUUUAAGUUGGGAGGAAGGGCAGUAAGUUAAUACCUUGCUGUUUUGACGUUACCGACAGAAUAAGCACCGGCUAACUUCGUGCCAGCAGCCGCGGUAAUACGAAGGGUGCAAGCGUUAAUCGGAAUUACUGGGCGUAAAGCGCGCGUAGGUGGUUUUGUAAGUUGGAGGUGAAAUCCCCGGGCUCAACCUGGGAACUGCCUCCAAAACUGCAUGACUAGAGUACGGUAGAGGGUAGUGGAAUUUCCUGUGUAGCGGUGAAAUGCGUAGAUAUAGGAAGGAACACCAGUGGCGAAGGCGACUACCUGGACUGAUAUUGACACUGAGGUGCGAAAGCGUGGGGAGCAAACAGGAUUAGAUACCCCUGUAGUCC